AUGAACGCUAGCUACAGGCUUAACACAUGCAAGUCGAGGGGCAGCAUUUCAGUUUGCUUGCAAACUGGAGAUGGCGACCGGCGCACGGGUGAGUAACACGUAUCCAACCUGCCGAUAACUCGGGGAUAGCCUUUCGAAAGAAAGAUUAAUACCCGAUAGUAUAAUGAAACCGCAUGGUCUUAUUAUUAAAGAAUUUCGGUUAUCGAUGGGGAUGCGUUCCAUUAGGCAGUUGGUGAGGUAACGGCUCACCAAACCUUCGAUGGAUAGGGGUUCUGAGAGGAAGGUCCCCCACAUUGGAACUGAGACACGGUCCAAACUCCUACGGGAGGCAGCAGUGAGGAAUAUUGGUCAAUGGGCGCAGGCCUGAACCAGCCAAGUAGCGUGAAGGAUGACUGCCCUAUGGGUUGUAAACUUCUUUUAUAUGGGAAUAAAGUUUUCCACGUGUGGAAUUUUGUAUGUACCAUAUGAAUAAGGAUCGGCUAACUCCGUGCCAGCAGCCGCGGUAAUACGGAGGAUCCGAGCGUUAUCCGGAUUUAUUGGGUUUAAAGGGAGCGUAGGUGGACAGUUAAGUCAGUUGUGAAAGUUUGCGGCUCAACCGUAAAAUUGCAGUUGAUACUGGCUGUCUUGAGUACAGUAGAGGUGGGCGGAAUUCGUGGUGUAGCGGUGAAAUGCUUAGAUAUCACGAAGAACUCCGAUUGCGAAGGCAGCUCACUGGACUGCAACUGACACUGAUGCUCGAAAGUGUGGGUAUCAAACAGGAUUAGAUACCCUGGUAGUCCACACAGUAAACGAUGAAUACUCGCUGUUUGCGAUAUACAGUAAGCGGCCAAGCGAAAGCAUUAAGUAUUCCACCUGGGGAGUACGCCGGCAACGGUGAAACUCAAAGGAAUUGACGGGGGCCCGCACAAGCGGUGGAGUAUGUGGUUUAAUUCGAAGCAACGCGAAGAACCUUACCAGGCCUUGACAUCCCUUGCAGAGGUAUAGAGAUAUAUCCGAGGUUAUCAAGGAGACAGGUGGUGCAUGGUUGUCGUCAGCUCGUGCCGUGAGGUGUCGGCUUAAGUGCCAUAACGAGCGCAACCCUUAUCUUUAGUUACUAACAGGUCAUGCUGAGGACUCUAGAGAGACUGCCGUCGUAAGAUGUGAGGAAGGUGGGGAUGACGUCAAAUCAGCACGGCCCUUACGUCCGGGGCUACACACGUGUUACAAUGGGGGGUACAGAAGGCAGCUACCUGGUGACAGGAUGCUAAUCCCAAAAGCCUCUCUCAGUUCGGAUCGAAGUCUGCAACCCGACUUCGUGAAGCUGGAUUCGCUAGUAAUCGCGCAUCAGCCAUGGCGCGGUGAAUACGUUCCCGGGCCUUGUACACACCGCCCGUCAAGCCAUGAAAGCCGGGGGUACCUGAAGUACGUAACCGCAAGGAGCGUCCUAGGGUAAAACUGGUAAUUGGGGCU
rnacentral:rRNA from 1 species